AGUGAACGCUGGCGGUAGGCCUAACACAUGCAAGUCGAACGGCAGCACAGUAAGAGCUUGCUCUUACGGGUGGCGAGUGGCGGACGGGUGAGGAAUACAUCGGAAUCUACUUUUUCGUGGGGGAUAACGUAGGGAAACUUACGCUAAUACCGCAUACGACCUACGGGUGAAAGCAGGGGAUCUUCGGACCUUGCGCGAUUGAAUGAGCCGAUGUCGGAUUAGCUAGUUGGCGGGGUAAAGGCCCACCAAGGCGACGAUCCGUAGCUGGUCUGAGAGGAUGAACAGCCACACUAGAACUGAGACACGGUCCAGACUCCUACGGGAGGCAGCAGUGGGGAAUAUUGGACAAUGGGCGCAAGCCUGAUCCAGCCAUACCGCGUGGGCGAAGAAGGCCUUCGGGUUGUAAAGCCCUUUUGUUGGGAAAGAAAAGCAGCAGGUUAAUACCCCGCUGUUCUGACGGUACCCAAAGAAUAAGCACCGGCUAACUUCGUG
rnacentral:rRNA from 1 species